AACGAACGCUGGCGGCGUGCCUAACACAUGCAAGUCGAGCGCGAAUGGAGCAAUCCUAGUAGAGCGGCGCACGGGUGCGUAACACGUGGGUAAUCUGCCUCAAAGCCCGGGAUAACCUGCCGAAAGGCAAGCUAAUACCGGAUAAGCCUACGGACUCUUCGGGGUCUGAAGGAAAAGGUGGCCUCUGUAUACAAGCUAUCACUUUGAGAUGAGCCCGCGGCCCAUCAGCUCGUUGGCGGGGUAACGGCCCACCAAGGCAACGACGGGUAGCUGGUCUGAGAGGACGAUCAGCCACACUGGAACUGAGACACGGUCCAGACUCCUACGGAGGCAGCAGUGGGGAAUUUUGCGCAAUGGGCGGAAGCCUGACGCAGCGACGCCGCGUGGGGGAUGACGG
rnacentral:rRNA from 1 species